UUCACGCUAUGUAUUACUACAUACUUUAGUAAAUCAGGUAUUGUGCUUGCAAAGACAGAGGCUAAUAGAACAUUUUCAAGUUAAACAUGCAGGAAGCCCAGUAUAACAAGGCAGGCCUGUGUGCAGAGCCACUCUUUCCCUUUCUUUUUGUGUAUACAUACAUAUUUAUAUAAUACAAUUAAAGAAUGAAAAAUACCAUAAUAUGUAGGCAAAGCUGUAUUUUUCUUUAAAGCAAUACAGUAAGAAAAAAGCUAUAUUCAGACUAAAACGAAAGUGAGAAGGAACAUUUCUUUUCAUCUGAAAUACUAUAGAAGUCUGAGGAAAUUUUUUUGAGGUUAUGUCACCCUCUCCACAUUUAAUACAGGAUUUAUGAAAUGGAGCAUGAUUGGGGGCAGAGUUUUUGUUUCAUGUCUUCUUCCUGGCUCUCUUCAUCCCUGUUCAUGCUUCAGCAACCUAUUUUAUAUUUAGUUUUCCCAGAGCAAUCAAAGACAGAACAUGGAUUAGAGCCCUGAGACCAACUUUAAAUGCAACUGAAGCCUGCACUUGGGUAACUGCACUGAGAGUAAAAGUGUCCUAAUUGAGGAGAUUACUUGAAGUUUAACUAGAUACCUGUGAAAAAUACACCUCUAGAGAUGAUAAAUCAAUAUUAUUACUGCUGGUUAUUUUUAAUUUAGGUUGUUGGCCUUUAAAGAGGACUUUGCUCCCUGAAGAUGGAAGUAAGAAGGUUGUGCUAGCCUGAGGAGGUGUGAUUUUUGAAUGGUGUUUUAUGACAUGUGAGUCAUCAUACAGAAAAGUUUUAAAAAACAUAUUAAAGACCUGGUGGGAGGACAGCAUCUCCCGUGGGGAGCUGCAGAGUGAGUCUGGAGCAGCAGCAGCGGAGGUCUCCAGGGAUAACGGCUACCGAGGGUGCCUGGGUCUGAGGUGAGCAGCCCCCGCAGCCCCCGCUUCAGGACCCACUGCAGGACUUCGCUUCGCCGUAUCUGAGCUAUCUAUUUGUGCUUUCCCUGCCUGCAUGGCAGAGACACAACUUUUCUGCAGGGCAUCAGAUCUGUUUGUAUGCAAAGUGCUGGGCAGGGACUUGCUCUGUAAGGCACAGACUUUCCUACUGCUAUUUUAGUUCAGAUUUUCCUCUUAUUCUCGAGUGAACCAGAUUUACUGCUUGCAGAAACAAUAUUGGCUCAACUUGCAAAAUGUCAGCGUCGAGCUAACUGGGUAAUAUCUGCUGAGGAGGUGAUGGGAGGGGGCUGCGCUGGACAAAGCCGGAGGAGCGGUGGGCUGCGUGCGGCGGGGGGGCACAGCUUCGGCCGUUGUACCCACCCUGCCUUCCGUGGCAACAAAAUCAAACCUGUUUUCAGAAGACAAGCAAGAAUAUGGGCAGAGGGAUGGUGUGAUGAGAUGCAAAAGCCAACACAACAGCACCGGUACCCACGAGCCGCAUCCCCCCAGCGACGACCCCUGUGCUCCCCGGGGUCUCUCCGGGGGAAAGGCACAGCAGCACCCUGCUCCCAGUUUCAGUAUUUGGAGGUUUUUUCCCCCAGUUUCUAGCAAUUCCUCUUUUCUGCCACUCCGCCUCUCUGGAGUUUUUGCUGACAGGACAGAACUGCUGCUAGCAAACACAUUAUUCAUUGUGAUUGAGUGCCUAGUAAUUACUUUAUAUAUUUUUUCAAUUCUCAAAUUAAAACCAUUUACUAGUAGGAACAGAUGUUAAACUCAGGACUCUUGUUGAUUGUUAGCGUGACACACACAUGAAAUGUUUUAAACGAGAAGGCUGAUUGAAUUUUAAAUAUGCUGAUCACACUGGUGGAAUUGAAAAUAAUUUAAACUGGGAAUAACUGAAAUGUUUCCAAGAAGAGAAGACAGAGGUGGGGUUGUUUUUCAAACUCCUGAUUGCAUAAAUCAUGUGAAGUUCUGCAGACUAAACACAACAAUCUACUGCAUCUUAGAGUACCAAACGUGAGGCUUGCGUGGUUGUUACUUCAAAAUGGCAGGUGAAAAGAAUUCAAAAAAUAAAGCAAAAUCAAUACUUCAGGUAUUAUCCACAUGCUUGUAGGAGCUUGGGUUUUUUGUUUUGUUUUGUUUUGUUUGCUUAUUCAGUAGAAUUACCUUUAUCAGGAAAUCUGACAUUAUUGCUUAUGGAGGGAUUAGUGCCCAUCAUGAAGGCUGAGCAGAUCUCUUGCAGUCUCUUUUUGCCUGUAGAAAGCCCCAGCUCACUCUCCCAAACUGGAGAAGGUGAUGAUUUCACUCUGCAAGCGUUGGUGGUAAGAAGAAAUGGGCAAAUUAUUCCAAAACCCCAACUGAGGAUCCAAAUCUCCAGGCUGGAGGUAAGGGCAACCUAUCACUGUUAAAAUAAAGAAGAUGUUUUUCGUUUUUACUUCAGUGGACAGAUUUGCCUGCGCAUGUAUUUUGCAUAAGAAAAUCAAAACCCCGUCAAUGUAUUUAUAAGAAAAAUGUCUAUUUUAAUCACAACGGAAGAUUUUGCAUCUUUACAUUUUCUAGUGACCCUAAUGCUUUGAAACCUUUCUGCUGGACAGGUGGCAUCUCUGCGAUGCUCCUGGGGAGUGAGAUAUGGGUUCUGCUCCCAUGCUUGUCCUGAAGCCGCUGGGGUUCUGGCAUGAAGUCUGCAAUAUUGGUUCCACCAACCUAUAAAGUUGGUUAUUUUCCAACUCUGCAAAGGUGCUGAGAGACGUAAUUACUGUCUGCAGAACACUUUCCUAUAUUUGAAUGAGAGAAGAUGCAUGUCUUGUAUGCAGAGCUUUUUUUUUUUUUUUUUUUGUAAGCUGACUUUGCAGGAUUUAUUGCAUACAAGGAAUGAAAAUUUGAGUUUGGAAAGUAAUACAGUAACAAUUGCAAUUAACCUCCACAACCCCCAGGUAACCCCCGGGUGUUGGGUUUAAAUCACAUUGCUUUUAAUUAAGUUUAGUGGCCAAGUACUGCUUGUUCUAAAGCAUUUUACUGGCACUUCUUCUGCAACAAAAUGCUUUAAAGCCUGACUGUUGUGCCAGCUUGACCCCAUGUGAGCUAAUGCCAAAAGGUAACAACAUAGGAGAGGAAAUACAGGUCGAAAAAGCAGUUACUGAGCAGGUACAACUGCGAUUUGUUACAAAACACUUUGGUAUAUAUGUACUUUCCUCUUAUGUCUGACAUAAUUUACAGACUUAUAACACUUGCUGAACUUCUCAAAAUGAGAAAACUCCCACUGAGACAGUAAAUUGUUGUUGCAUUGAAUGAUCCUUGACAAUCUAUUGUCACAAUACGUGCCACAUUAAAACAGUCUGGCACCAAUACUGGAGAAAGUCUCCUGACGUAUGUCGUCUUCUGGGGCUGUCAUGCUUUUAUUGUGUUCAUGAUCCAUGGAGGAAAGGUUGCUAAUAGCAGACAUUGACCCACUGAUGGUAAUUGCUGUGAAAACAUUAUUCAAGCUUAUUAUGUUAAUGACAGAAGGAUGAGGCACUUCCUAAAAAGUUAGUAUGGCAUCACCAGAGAUGCUUUAUUUAUUUAACUGAUUGAUCAUUUAAAGGUUUAUAAAAUGCCUUCUCUGUAUAAUAACACUGCAUAAUCAUGUACAUACAAAUUAAACAAUCCACAAAGCUAAAGGCAGAAUGGUUGUUGAAGAUCUGAUUUUCAUGUAAAAACUCAAGACUUUUAUGGGCUUAUUUACAUAACAAGUCAUGGUCUAGUCUCCUUUACCAGUGUCAGCCCGCCACGGAGUUGGCUUCAGCUGUAAAUUUUUACGGUUUGGAGCUAGUGGAAUACAAGAGAAUGGUUUGCAUAUUUUAGUGAUUUGAAAUACUUUUUUUAUUGAAGAAAACAGUGUAAUUUUCUUCCAGGAGAAUGAUUUCUUCCCUAAAAAUGCGAUGCUUGCACACUUUCCCAGGGCAAAGUUAUGGCUUUUCUCCUUCCAGUUAAUGCCUGCAGACUGCCUCCUCCUAUGUAUUCUCCUUUCUACCAGGAACAAAUCUACUGCAAACUCUGGGUCUGAGCAUCCCUGAUCCCCUGGAGCCGGGGGAAAGUAUAGGUCACAUUGCUCUCCAACUGGUUAAACCGAAGUAGAUAAAAAGAUCUUUACAUAGACAAGACGUAGCAUAGGUGUGUCCUCUGGCUGGAGAAGCGCAGCAGAAAUAGUCAAACUAUUUCUCAGUAUAAAUGGUCUAACCAAGGGAUCCGGAGGGUCUCUCCCAAAUUUGAUGACAAUGAUCUCUAAACCAGACGUGGCUGAUCCAGCGAGGAAAUUUCCGAGUGGAAGCUAUGACCCAAAGCCUGGAGGCUGAUGCAGUUCUGUCAGCAGAGCAGAAGGAGAGGUGACUAAGAGCAAAACGAAGGCCAAGGCUACCCUGCUCUUGCUUCUGGCUUAGCCCUCCGUAUUUCCUCUAGGCUCAGCCUUCAGGCUCUCGGAUCGCCUCAUUUCACAAUGACUUGACUUGCCAUCGAAGGACGGUUAUAGCAAUUCCGUUUGUAUCCUCUUAGACUCGUUUGACUACAACCAGAGAGCUCUAGAAAUGGAUUAAUUGAUUUUCAUGUUCAGAAGAGGCCAUUCCCCAUUUAACCUAUGUAUCUGUUGCUACAGAUUUUCACAUCUUUUCAAUCUAUUCAUGUGUUCGAUGGAUCUGACAAAAUGUCUAAAACCAAACAGAUUUGAAGCAUUUAUUUUCUCUUUCCUAUCUUUACUGCCCCAUCUAGUUCAGAAGCAUGCCUGCUUCCUUUUGCUUUGCAACUUAAUGCAAUUUUUGUAUUUGCAGCCCAUACCAAGCUGCAUAGAGGAUAUACAACAAAAUGCUGCAACAUUUGACAAGUUUUUGAACAGCGUGGCCAAAACUUACAUUUGUGUCAGCCUGUAUUAAAUCAGUCCUGCACAUUUUUUAGCAGUUAUGACUUUGAACUUCUACAUGAAACAGAAACACUGACCCUUUACAGAUGAAGUACAUAAAUAAACCUUUGCUUCAACAGCCUUUAGAAAAAACAGUGCUUUAUGGCAAAAAGUCCCUCAUCACACUCCUCUCUCAUAUAUUAGAAAAAAGGAAAAAAACGGAUGUUUGCUGUGUAUUCAAUGGCUGGAAGAGAAAGCAGCACGUUGACAAAUGCUGACCUGGAGCUCCACGUUGAGAAGUGCACUGAACUUUACUUUGAAAACUCACGGCCAGAGUUAAAGAAGUGAAUUGUGCACAUUUCCUCCAUCUGCUUCUGUGGUAACCGCCUGGAGAAGGACACAGGACACGCAGGCUCUUCCCAUCCACCAAGUAAAGGGUAGGGAAUAUACAGGGAUUGGCUCCUUGGUGCUGAAAGCCCCAGGAAUUUUUAAUAACAUAUAGUCUAGGCUGGAAUAAUCUUCAGGAGGUAAAAGAAGAGUCUUUUUAGCAGCUCAUUGCUGAGUAUAGCAGUGAAGUAUAACCAGGGGCUCUUGUCCAUAAUGGUACAUCGGGGUUGCAACUUCCAAGAUUUCAGCACUUCUUGGACAUCACAGGCCCUUGUGCUCCAUGUUUAAGAUGCGGUUAGCUCCAAUGUCGGUGUACAGCAAUUCGAAUAUACAGUAACCUUGUACUAGCAUUGUCACGAUCAUUUCUUGGCCAUCCAUCAUGCCAGUAUCUCUGUAUCCUUAUGUAGAGCAAGUGACACCUUCCAGCAGCAAAGGAACUUUGAUUGCAUCUUAUCUAGAGCUCAGCAUGGAGGUUAGCUCUCCAAUAGCUCUGUCUGGAAGGGUAAAUCAGGUGUUUUUGCUGGAUUUUUCCACUACAUAUACAAAAUCUUGGGAGGAGAUUUUAUUGCAUAGGUGAUGGCGGUGUGGCUCCUGUGUUGAUUUAUUUUGCUUUAUUUCGCUUUAUUUCAUGCUGUUCAAGUUUGUUCUCCCCAAAGCCUUUAAUCUUCCUGGAGGGAAGAUGUUGAUGCAAAGUUGAAAGCGUUGAAACAAACCAUCCAUACACUCAGUGCCCCUCACUGGGAAUUGCCCCAGACUCUAAAAAGAAGAAAAGGGGGAUUCUAAGAGCCCAUGAUUGCUAGUGAAAGCACAGAUACAACACUCGCUCUUCCCAAUGAACCUGCCGUGGAUCUCCCAGCAGUUUCACCUACAGCAAGCACAUGGACGAUGCGGCCCCGUGCUUGUGCCUGGGGCUGGCUCUCUUUCCCACCAAGACGGAUAAGCUGUGCUCAUAACCAAACUCCUGCACAUUAAUAUUACCUUGUUGACUUCUCCUACAACAGACGAAGUCAGCAACUGCAAAAUCGAGUAGCAAGCGAGGCUCAUUUUCUUGGAGUGCGCGAUGACCAUUGACAGGGUUUGUAUGUAUGACUGACACAGUAGAUUAACUUACAAUAAAAAUGGAACUUUCACAUAAAUGACAUCAGGAGAUAUCUUUAGUGCUAUGCUCAUCUGCCUGAAGGGACAAUGUGAUUUUUCUAUUACUGCUAAGAUGCACAAUAGCAUUGCUCGGCUGAUUUGGUUUUAUUUUUAUAUUGUGCUGCCAGUUCAAUUACAAAUACAGACAAGUGGCAUCAAUGGCAAUAAAGCAUCCAUCCUCCAAAACCCAGGUUCCUCUACCGUUCAAACAGUGAGGGCACCUAAGAAGUCACUGGGCACUUCUGAAAAUGUGGUAUCAUUGUAACAUUGAAAAAGGUAGGUGUUUGGAUUGACACAUUCCCUUAAAUGCAUUGUUUUACCCAAGUGAAAAUGUAUUCGUUGAUCUUUUAUAGCACCUUUCAGGUCUGGAAUAGGCAUGUCACAUCUAUGGCAAGAGUAGAUUUAUUUCUCAAGAACGUCCCUUUCUGUCACUUCUAUUUGCCUAGUUUGGUGAGUUUACAAACGUUUGGAAAAAUUGCAGUUUGCACAUACUCAGCUAAGAUAUUUAAGAUUUUUUAGAAGUCAUAUUAAUCCAGGUUUUUGCCUACACUGGGCGGGCUGUGGCUUGGGACACUCCCUGCAAUUGCAUCUCUGACAG